rnacentral:rRNA from 1 species
AACGAACGCUGGCGGCAGGCCUGACACAUGCAAGUCGAGCGAAUCCUUCGGGGUUAGCGGCGGACGGGUUAGUAACGCGUGGGAACGUGCCCAAAGGUACGGAAUAGCCCCGGGAAACUGGGAGUAAUACCGUAUGUGCUCUACGGAGGAAAGAUUUAUCGCCUUUGGAUCGGCCCGCGUUGGAUUAGGUAGUUGGUGGGGUAAUGGCCCACCAAGCCGACGAUCCAUAGCUGAUUUGAGAGGAUGAUCAGCAACACUGGGACUGAGACACGGCCCAGACUCCUACGGGAGGCAGCAGUGGGGAAUCUUAGACAAUGGGGGAAACCCUGAUCUAGCCAUGCCGCGUGAGCGAUGAAGGCCUUAGGGUUGUAAAGCUCUUUCAGCUGGGAAGAUAAUGACGGUACCAGCAGAAGAAGCCCCGGCUAACUCCGUG